UUAUCAGUGAGGUUUAUUCUUACCUGUUGUCUUUAUAAUAAGACUGCAGAACGUGAUGAUUGGGUUCAAUGAGUGUGUGAUUAUAUUCACAUUCAUCAGAGAACUGCAACUCUUUGAUGAAUCCUGUCUGAU
rnacentral:snoRNA from 1 species